rnacentral:rRNA from 1 species
UACGGGGGGGGCAAGCGUUGUUCGGAAUUACUGGGCGUAAGGGCUCGUAGGCGGCCAACUAAGUCGGAUGUGAAAUCCCCAAGCUUAACUUGGGAACUGCAUCCGAUACUGGAUGGCUUGAAUCCGGGAGAGGGAUGCAGAAUUCCAGGUGUAGCGGUGAAAUGCGUAGAUAUCUGGAGGAAUACCGGUGGCGAAGGCGGCAUCCUGGACCGGCAUUGACGCUGAUGAGCGAAAGCUAGGGGAGCAAACG